AUAGAGCACAGACGACUCCUGACUUACAAUGACUUGACUUACGAUAUUUUAACUUUACGAUGGUAUGAAAGCAAUACGCAUUCAGUAGAAACCCUUCUUCCAGUUGUGAAAUUUGACCUUCUCCUGGGCUAGUGAUAUGCACAGUGUGAUUCUCCAUCAUGAUGCUGGGACGUGAGAGCCACAGCAACCAGUCAGCCACAUGACCACGACAGUAAACGACGACACACUUCACAACGGUUUUGUAGUCAUACAAUGUUGUUUUGCACUUUAAGUACAGGAUUCAGUAAAUCACAUGAGAUAGUCAAUGUGUUAGUAUAAAAUAGGCUUUGUGUGAGCCGGACUCUGGCUGAUGUUAAGUGUUCUGGGCACAUUUAAGGUAGGCUACACUAAGCGAUGACGUUUGGUGGUUCAGGUGUAUUAAAUGCAUUUUUGACUUGGCAAUAUUUUCAACUUAGCAGUGAGUCUAUCUGGAUAUAACCCCAUCGUAAGUUGAGGAAGAUCUGUGUUUCCUGUAUACCCAGAUAUUGUACCAUGUAAUCUUUUAAAAAUUAUCUUAUUUACUCCUCAUUAGGAUGCUACCACAGAGUGGGUAAUCGUAUUAGUCCUUAUUUUAUAAAUGCUGAAACUAACAGAGAGGUUAAUUAACACGUCCAAAUACACGCAGCUAUAAAAUGUCAAAACUGAGAUUGAGACGCAGGUCUACCUAAUGCUGAGGUCACGUUCUUGAUCACAGUAAGUAAGACGCCGGUUCCAGGUCUAGAGGCACAGUGUUGGAGGCUGUCCACCUUCCGAGCAGACAAGCAAAUGGCGGUGACGUUUCCGCCUAACGGGCUAUGCGCUCGCAGGAUCGGCACUUUGGCCACGAGCAGAAGAUCACGGACAGACAGCAUCCCCUCCGCUGCCGCACAGCUGUUGUCAGGGCUGCUGCUGACCUCAGCGUUACCAGCAAACUUCAUGGCAGGGGUGUCAGACUGUCACUCCACACGACACCAACAGUCGCCAGCUAAUACGCCAGCUAAUACGGUAAACCGUUUGAAGCAUAAAUACUUCAUCAGCUGUGGGCCAAAAUGAAGAAUAAAGAAGAGCAAAUCAUUCA
rnacentral:lncRNA from 1 species